AUGCGAAUUAUUCUCGCCUGCUGGAUCCAUCAAUGGUCUAAUCAGGGCUAGACAUUCGCUAGAUUAAAAAAAAAAAACCUGCAGUGUCCACAGAACUGGUUUUGUGCCUGUUUUGUUUAUUUUUCUGCUGGUGACAGUU